CUCUGCCCACCUCAGCCUCCAAAAGUGCUCAGAUUACAGACAUGGGUCACUGUGCUGGUCUGUAUUAAUAGUAAGUUUUGAAAUCAGCAAGUAGAUGUCUACAAUGCCAACCUUUCUCUUCUUACUCAAGAUUAUUUAGGCUGCUCUGGAUCUAUUGCAUUGCAUAUGAACUUUAGAAUUACCUUGUUAAUUUUGAGGAAGGAGAUAUCACCUGGGAUUUUGGUAGAGGUUGCAUUAAAUCUAUAGAUCUAUUUGGAAAAUAUUGCCAUCCUAACAGCACUAACCCUUCUAAGCAAUGAACAUUAAAAUAUUUUCUAUUUAUUUAAUUUUGUUCAAUAUGUUUUCUGUAGUUUUUAUGUACAUACCUUACACUUAAUUUAAUAAACAUGCCUAUUUUCGAUGGCAUCUCAAGUGGAACGGUUUUCUGAGUUUUGUUUUUAGAUUGUUAAUCGCUAGUGUAUAGAAAUUCAAAUGAUUUUAUAUGUUGACCCUAUAUUCUGCAAGUUUGUUACUCAUCUUUAAGUUUUAAAUAUAUUUUAUUAGAGUCCUUUGGAUUUUUUUAUACAUAAGAUUAUGUCAUUUGCAAACAGUUUGACUUCUCUUAUCUGCCUUAUUUGCUGCAUGUUUUUAUCAUAGUGAGUUCAGGAAUUCUCAGGUGUUUCUGCAUCUUUUGAGAUGAUUAUGUGGUUUUUUUUUUAGUAUAUUAAUAUAGUGCAUGGCAUUAAUUGUCCCUGAAUGUUGUACCAAAUGUUGCUUUCCUAAGGUAAAUACCCUUGACAUAUUUUAUAAUACUUUUUACAUGUUGCUGAUUUGUUUUGCUGGGAUUUCCUUGAUGAUUUUUGGGUCUAUAUUCAUAAGGUGUGUUAUUUUUAAUUUUCAUUAUAUGAAAUCUGUUUGUCUAGUUGUGGUAUCAGGGUAAACUAACUCAUAGUAUAAAUGAAAUGCGAUGUCUUCUCCACUUUGUUGUUGUUGUUUUUAAUAAUGUAUUAUAUGUUAAUAUUAAUUGUUUAAGUGAUUCCAAUAACUCACUAAUGAAUUAUCUUGACUGGGGCGAGGAAGCGAAUCCUAAGAAGAAUCAUGAGAGCUUGGAAGGAGACCUUUCCCCAGCUGAGCCUCAGCCUGGGCCGUCAUCUGCAUCUGGACUGAAGACCCAGAGAAACUACCCCAUCAGGAAUUGUUUGGGACCGUGCGUCCUGUGGACACUCACAUCGGGGAAUUAUAAUGCCAGUUGGCAUUCUUAAAGCUUCCACGCUAGCAGAAUCUGCAGUCCAGUUAUCACAAAAAAAUGAAAAACAUGAAAGCUAGAAUUUUUGUAGGGAUUGUACUGAAUCUGCAGACGCACUUGGAAAGUAUAAGCAUCUUGGUUUGGAAUAAUUCACCAGUGAAGUCUUCUUAACCUGGGCAAUCAUGUGAACUUGGAAGAUGAUCCGUCCCCAUCUCAUCUUUCAGGUGAAACCUCAGCCUUGGCCAUCACCGACAUCUGGAUUUCUGACUCAGAGAAACUGUGAGUAAUGUGUGUGUGCUUUUGAGCCACUAAGCUACAUGGUAAUUGGCUGUGCUGUAAUACACAAUAGUACACUUCAUGGUAAAUGUGAUGUUAUCCUGAAUUAGAUCCAAAUACAGAAACAUGGCGUUAGGUGAAAACCAGGUAAAAUAUGAAGACAGUCAGUACUUCAGUUAAAAGUUCUAUGUACCUUUAUCAAUUUUUGAGUUUUCACAGAUAUUCUAUGUUUAUGUAUGAUGAUAAUAUUACAGAAAGUUGAAGGGUAUAUGAUACCUUAUGUAAGAUCUUAGCAAUUUUCUGUAAAUCUAAAAUUUUAAAAUAAAUAGAAGUGUAGACAUGGCUCAUAUAUUUGAAAUCAGGACUUGCUGUUAACUUAAUUGAGCCUUUGUGGAACCUGAAACACAUAGUACAAAUGCAGUAACCUUGUAAAACAUAAAUGAUAUGAGUUUCUAUUUUAUUCACUUUUUUUUUUUUUUUUUUUUUUUU